rfam:Camelus ferus unplaced genomic scaffold scaffold1095, whole genome shotgun sequence.
GAGGGUAUAGCUCAGUGGUAGAGUUCAUGUUUAGCGUGCACGAGGUCCUGGGUUCAAGGCCCAGUACCUCCA